rnacentral:rRNA from 1 species
UACGUAGGGCGCAAGCGUUGUCCGGAAUUAUUGGGCGCAAAGAGCUCGUAGGCGGUUUGUCGCGUCUGCUGUGAAAACCUAAGGCUCAACCUUGGGCUUGCAGUGGGUACGGGCAGACUAGAGUGCGGUAGGGGUGACUGGAAUUCCUGGUGUAGCGGUGGAAUGCGCAGAUAUCAGGAGGAACACCCGUGGCUAAGGCGGCUCUCUAGUACGGUACUGACGCUGAGACGCGAAAGCGUGGGGAGCGAACAGG